UGGUCAAAAGGGAAAAAAAACCGGUCAGACCACCAAGAUUCAUGUUUCUAACCUUAUCCCCAUGUUGGAGAACACCCAUUUUUGUCCUGACAGUCUUUCCCCUGAAAAUAAUUUCCCUGAAAAUAAUUUUUUAGGUAAAUCCUCACGUCCCCGCAGGAAAGCUGCAGAAACCAGUGAGGCGAGGACAAGACAAAUGCUUCACUAAUUCAUUUUUUGUUUUUAAUUUUAAAUUUUACUGUAUGUCCAUGCAUAUUUUGUACAUUUAUUAGUGGAUGAAAAUUUUUUCUUUGGAAAAAGUUUCCAUCUUCUCCCCAGGACUAUACAGAAUAAAUAAAUUUUUAAUGUACUUGCCUACAGCGGCAGGAAGGAUUCGUAAAUAUGGAAUUUUAGUAUUACCAAAAUAAGUAAAAUAAGUACUUGGUACCGCUUACAGUCCUUCCUGCUGCCAUAGUUAUGAUCAGCAAAUUGUUGACUCCUCCUCUUUUUGUUGUUUACGAGGAAACUUCGAGAUCGGUGAAUGCGUGAGAAGUCAGUACUAGCAGUCCAAGCAGUCUGAGCAGUCGAGGCAGUUCUGCCAGUCCGGUCAGUCCGGGCGGUCCUGUCAGAGCAUUAGGGCAGUGAGCUAUCCUGUAGGACCCACCACAUACCCGUAUGCCAUUGAGCCCGUCUUCCAUCGUCAGAGUGAGCCUGUCUUCCUGGAGGAUGUCUUGGACGAGGCUCUGAGAAUGUUAUUAAGAAUCAAGGGUCCCUCAAGAGGCAUUUGUGAAGUAUUCCCUUGGUUCCAUAAUUUGGACGGCGUAAUUGGUGGCCACCUGGAUGUGCUCUGCCUCCUACGACUGAUUUGUUCAUCAUCGUCUCGACUUUGAUUCACCUUAGUGGAUGAUUUGUGGAGAAAAGUCACGUUCUCCUAAGCAUUGACUUCAAUCCCUUCUUGCUCGGAUGGACUACGUGGUUUCGCAACUCUACUGAAGGUUGUUCAUGGGUUUAUUGUACAUAGUGGUAUGGAGGAGAAGCUGAUUAUUGAAGAGGAAGAGCCCUGUGUCAUGCACUUGACACAUUUGCAA